rnacentral:rRNA from 1 species
UACGUAGGGUGCAAGCGUUAAUCGGAAUUACUAGGCGUAAAGCGUGCGCAGGCGGUUGUGCAAGACAGAUGUGAAAUCCCCGGGCUCAACCUGGGAAUUGCAUUUGUGACUGCACGGCUAGAGUGUGUCAGAGGGGGGUAGAAUUCCACGUGUAGCAGUGAAAUGCGUAGAUAUGUGGAGGAAUACCGAUGGCGAAGGCAGCCCCCUGGGAUAACACUGACGCUCAUGCACGAAAGCGUGGGGAGCAAACAGG